UCCCCUACAUGGACUAACUGUGCCAGGGGCGUAGAAUGGGCCUCACUGGUCUUUCUCUUACAUAACAUAACAUAACAUGGUCCAACUGUGCCAGGGGCGUAGAAUGGGCCUCACUGGUCUUUCUCUUACAUAGUGCCAGGGGCGUAGAAUGGGCCUCACUGGUCUUCCGUACCGUAUCAUCAUCAUCAUAGCAUAGGGGGACUAAUGGAUUAUUCAACAUCCAUCCACAUCAUCAAACAUAAUAUGCAAUGCAACAUAUUCGUGAGUCUAAUGCAACACCCUAUUAUCUCAUGGC
rnacentral:lncRNA from 1 species